rnacentral:rRNA from 1 species
GACGAACGCUGGCGGCGUGCCUAACACAUGCAAGUCGAACGAACAUUUCGGGGUUAGUGGCGGCUGGGUUGGUAACCGGUUGGAUCAUGCCUUUGGGUUCGGCCUAACUCAGGGAAACUUGUGCUAAUACCGAAUGUGACCUUCGGGGGAAAGCUUUAUUGCCUUUAGAGCGGCCAGAGUCUGAUUAGUUUGUUGGUUGAGGUAAGGGCUCACCAAGGCGGCGAUCAGUAGGUGGUAUGAGAGCAUGCUCAGGCACAUUGGGACUGAGACACGGCCCACACUCCUACGGGAGGCAGCAGUGGGGAAUCUUGCGCAAUGGGCGAAAUCCUGACGCACCCAGGCCGCGUUAAUGAUGAUGGUCUUAGAAUUGUAAUAUUCUUGCACCGGAGACUAUUAUGACGGUACCCGGAGAAGAAGCCCCGGCUAACUACGUG